AGCGGCGGAUGGGUGAGUAACACGUGGGGAACCUGCCCCUAAGUCUGGGAUACCAUUUGGAAACAGGUGCUAAUACCGGAUAAUAAAGCAGAUCGCAUGAUCAGCUUUUGAAAGGCGGCGUAAGCUGUCGCUAAGGGAUGGCCCCGCGGUGCAUUAGCUAGUUGGUAAGGUAACGGCUUACCAAGGCGACGAUGCAUAGCCGAGUUGAGAGACUGAUCGGCCACAUUGGGACUGAGACACGGCCCAAACUCCUACGGGAGGCAGCAGUAGGGAAUCUUCCACAAUGGACGCAAGUCUGAUGGAGCAACGCCGCGUGAGUGAAGAAGGUUUUCGGAUCGUAAAGCUCUGCUGUUGGUGAAGAAGGAUAGAGGUAGUAACUGGCCUUUAUUUGACGGUAAUCAACCAGAAAGUCACGGCUAACUACGUGCCAGCAGCCGCGGUAAUACGUAGGCGGCAAGCGUUGUCCGGAUUUAUUGGGCGUAAAGCGAGCGCAGGCGGAAAAAUAAGUCUAAUGUGAAAGCCCUCGGCUUAACCGAGGAACUGCAUCGGAAACUGUUUUUCUUGUGUGCAGAAGAGGAGAGUGGAACUCCAUGUGUAGCGGUGGAAUGCGUAGAUAUAUGGAAGAACACCAGUGGCGAAGGCGGCUCUCUGGUCUGCAACUGACGCUGAGGCUCGAAAGCAUGGGUAGCGAACAGGAUUAGAUACCCUGGGUAGUCCAUGCCGUAAACGAUGAGUGCUAAAUUGU
rnacentral:rRNA from 1 species